rnacentral:pre_miRNA from 1 species
AUAUGAUUUACCUGAGGGAUCUUGUUAGCAUGCACAUCCUGAUUUGGCAGGUCUAGGUUCUGAGAUUCUGCAUUUCUAUCAAGCUCCAAGAUGAUGCUGAU